GACGAACGCUGGCGGCGUGCUUAACACAUGCAAGUCGAACGAAGUGGCGAACGGGUGAGUAACGCGUACUCAACCUGCCCUUCAGAGGGGGACAACAGUUGGAAACGACUGCUAAUCCCGCAUACUGAAGGCGGGGAUUGCGUCUGAUUAGCUAGUUGGAGGGGUAACGGCCCACCAAGGCUAUGAUAAGUAGCCGGUCUGAGAGGAUGAACGGCCACAUUGGGACUGAGGACCGGCCCAGACUCCUUCGGGAGGCAGCAGGGGGGAAUCUUCCGCAAUGGACGAAAGUCUGACGGAGCAACGCCGCGGGAGUGAUGACGGCCUUCGGGUUGUAAAGCUCUGUUAAUCGGGACGCGGUACCGGAAUAGAAAGCCACGGCUAACUCCGUGCCAGCAGCCGCGGUAAUUC
rnacentral:rRNA from 1 species